CCUCAGUUAUACUGCAGUUGAACCUCAGUUAUACUGCAGUUGAACCUCAGUUAUACUGCAGUUGAACCUCAGUUAUACUGCAGUUAAACCUCAGUUAUACUGCAGUUGAACCUCAGUUAUACUGCAGUUGAACCUCAGUUAUACUGCAGUUAAACCUCAGUUAUACUGCAGUUGAACCUCAGUUAUACUGCAGUUGAACCUCAGUUAUACUGCAGUUACACUGCCAAAUGACGGCAGUAAAAAAAAAGUUAUUUUGGACACUGCACUCUAAUGGCAAUCUUUUUUGGUAAGGGUCCUCCCUCUCUCUGGUCAAUGAAGACCUCCACAUCUGUUCAACAUGCACUUCCUCUAUUAGAAUUAUUAGGCCAGUUGAGAAGCUCUAAGGUAGAUGUAUUUAGGGUUUGAAGCCGUGAAAAUUGGAACACAUUUUUUUGUACUGAACAAAACCUGAUAAGAGUGCCAUUUCAGCCGAGUGUUGUAGGAGCCUGUUAGUAGAACCACCUAUAGAUCAAUGUUGAAAAUACAUCUACUGUACCUGCAUUUACGUUUCAGGUCACCCCUGUGUUGGGUCUACAUGACUGAAAUAUAAGGCGGAGAACACUGUUUGUAAUGUUAAUGUAGUGGAUCUGUUACAGCAUAGAUCCAUGAGGGUCGUGUUCCUUAGGUAUGAAUAGGGGGGGAAAGUACUGAAAUGAGGGUGAAACUAUCUGGAUUUAAAAUUAUAUAUAUAUAUUUAACUAGGCUACCUGCUGCCCACUUGUCCGACUUGUCCAAUAAGACACGCUCAUUAACGUUUUUCAUUGCAAAACCUUUUCUGUUAAGUGCCCUAAUGAACGUGACCCAGGAUCCCUGUUUGUGUCUGUCCCUGGAAACUCAAGGGUCAGUUGGUAACAAAACAUUAUUAGUGUAUUAUAAUGCAUUAUAAAUGACCCUAUAAAGCAUUAUACAUUACUGUCUAGCCCAUGUAAUGAUUCAUACAGUAGCUUUGCUCACAUUUCAUUUAACCAGCGAUACAAUGAGUGGAAUGUGACAGAGGGAGAGAAAAGAGGGAUGAAUAGAAGAAAGAGAUUUGCAUCCUAAAAUGGCACCCUAUUCACUUUAUAGUGCACUACUUUUGACCAGGACCCAAUGGGACCUUUAUAGUAGACUACUUUCGACCAGGGCCCAUAGAGCAUUUGGGACGCCACCCAGGUGAAGCCACAGCCAAACUGGUUUGGUCAUAAUAUCUCUUCUGGAUGGUUUUCCUGGACACAGAUGAAUCGUAGUCCUGGACUAACAAACACUUUCAAUAGAGAAUCACCAUUAAAAUAGGUUUUGAGACCAGGACUUAUUCUGUGUCUGGGAAACCAGCCCUGUAUGUUUAAAUGCAAGAGCGCCUUUCAAUUCAACUACAUGUCUAUACUAUAUCUGUCAUGAAGCUGUGAUUGUCACCGGUCUACCUACACCAUCUAAUGCAGGUCUAUUUUAUUACAUGUAAGAGAUGGUUAUCUGUACAGGUGUUCAAGGUGUACAGACAUUGCAACAGGACAGUUACAGAUUGACACAUCUCACAUAAUAAUGUAUGAAUGUUAUCAACAUGUUUCAAGAUCAUUUGAGUUGGUUUUACUACUGCUGUACCCUCUCCUCUCCUUCUGGGGCCAUGUAUCAAGCGUCUCAAAGCAGGAGUGCUGACUUAGGAUCAGUUUGGCCUUUUAGAUCGCAAUAAAUAAGAUCACACAGGCAGGACCUGAUCCUAGAUCAGUACUCAUUCUCUAAGACAUUUGAUACAUACACUGCCCUGAUUCUCCUGAGUCACUAAAAGGGCCAACUCUAUUUUUUCUCUCUCUCUGCCUGCCUUUUAAGUUUUUCACAUUCUGCAAGAAGAGAUACUUUUCCCCUAGUAUUUCUUAUCUACCCAUAUGAGUAUGUUUCUGAAAUGGCAUCAUAUUCUCUGUAUAGUGCGCUAAGAAAAAUACUCAUAUUUGUGCACUAUAUAGGGAAUAUGGGCCAUUUCAGUCACCACUUUAAAACCUCUAUGGGAUCGGUGUCCCCACAAUGGGACGGUUGAGCUAAUGUGAUUAGCAUGACGUUUUAAGUAACAGGAAGAUUUCCCAGGACAUAGACAUAUCUGAUAUGGCCAGAAAGCUGAAAUUCCUGUUAAUCUAACUGCACUGUCCAAUUUACAGUAACAGUGAAAGAAUACCAUGCUAUUCUUUGAGGAGAGUGCACAGUUUUGUACUUGAAAAUGUAUCAAUAAACCAAUUAGACACAUUUGGGCAGACUUGAUACAACUAUUUGAACAGUAAUGCGAUGGUUUAUCGGAUCAGUCUAUAACUUUGCACCAUCGUAUUUCAGACACCACUUUAAAGUAAUCCACUGCAGCCAGAUUGUGGAGUUACUCACCUUCUCCUCUUCGCUCUCUGUGGAGCAUAAGUCCUCAACCAGUCCAUGUCGGCUUGUCUAAAUAGUGGCGGUGCGUAAACAUUGCACUUACCACAAAUUCCUUGUUUUCCCUGUGUUUGCCGUAUUGUACAUUGCUUUUGUCAUUAGCACAAUAUACAUGACCCGAUUUUAGCUUCAAGGCGGCGGCCAUUUUGAAAAUCCUAAAAGAUAGAUUGAGCUGAUUUAAUGGCACACUAAAACAUGUCGUGCGCCAUAGUUUUGAAACACAGUGGAUAGUGCUAAAUCAAUUAUGCCAUAUCUGAAUUCUGCCAUCUUUAUGCACAUUGGCCAUUUGCCAAAGAGAAAGGACAACAAUAACCAAUGGCUAAGCUAAAUAGACAAUUGAAAUGAGUUGAGAGUUGAGUAGGUGAGAUGGGUUGGUCCGUACACCAGUAGUAACACCAUCAUGGACCCCAGGAAGAGUAGCUGCUGCUUUUGCAACAGCUAAUGGGGAUUCUAAUCAAAUACCAAAUACUAAAUCAUCAUCACUCUAUAGAUCCAUUCUAGCCUGGUCCCAGAUCUGCUGGUGCUCUUUCCAACUCAUUGUCAAGCCAAACAUUUGACAUAGCAAUUCCACAAGGUGUUGGUAAGAGAGCAGAAAGCGACUGGCAUCCAGGCUAGUUCCAUUCCUCAAGGCCUAUGUCUCAGUUUCAUGGCUGUCGUGCUAAAGUAGAAUUCAAGACAAAUAAAUCAAGACAGUUUUUUCCCCUCUUGUGUCUGUCACAUGUAUUGCUUCGUUUGCUGUAAUGAAUGAAUGUGAUUAUAGGUGCCUGAGCAGUUGAGCAAAUGAAUCAGCUGCAUUCCCACUUUGUAUGUUUUUGCACCCUCACAUUUUUGGACCAGAAAAGUAUAAUGACCCAUUGGGUAAUUUGUCAACACGCUUGUCGUCUUUAGCAACCUGGGAAUCAGUGAAACACUCCUUGACCAGAGGCCCCAGGUGAUCCACCACUGCCGGGCAGCACAUUGUCC
ensembl:lncRNA